UGGCUGAGUGGCAAAGCGCUGGGAUUCUGAACCAGAGCGUUCUGGGUUCGAAUCCUGG
rnacentral:tRNA from 1 species